rnacentral:rRNA from 1 species
CGGGUGAGUAACGCGUGGGUAACCUGCCUUGUACAGGGGGAUAACAGUUGGAAACGACUGCUAAUACCGCAUAAGCCCACAGCUCGGCAUCGAGCAGAGGGAAAAGGAGUGAUCCGCUUUGAGAUGGCCUCGCGUCCGAUUAGCUGGUUGGUGAGGUAACGGCCCACCAAGGCGACGAUCGGUAGCCGGACUGAGAGGUUGAACGGCCACAUUGGGACUGAGACACGGCCCAG